AUUGAACGCUGGCGGCAUGCUUUACACAUGCAAGUCGAACGGUAACAGGCCGCAAGGUGCUGACGAGUGGCGAACGGGUGAGUAAUGCAUCGGAACGUGCCCAGUCGUGGGGGAUAACGCAGCGAAAGCUGUGCUAAUACCGCAUACGAUCUAUGGAUGAAAGCGGGGGACCGUAAGGCCUCGCGCGAUUGGAGCGGCCGAUGUCAGAUUAGGUAGUUGGUGGGGUAAAGGCCCACCAAGCCAACGAUCUGUAGCUGGUCUGAGAGGACGACCAGCCACACUGGGACUGCGACACGGCCCAGACUCCUACGGGAGGCAGCAGUGGGGAAUUUUGGACAAUGGGCGCAAGCCUGAUCCAGCAAUGCCGCGUGCAGGAAGAAGGCCUUCGGGUUGUAAACUGCUUUUGUACGGAACGAAACGGUCUGGGUUAAUACCUCGGGCUAAUGACGGUACCGUAAGAAUAAGGGACGGCUAACUACGUGCCAGCCACCGCAGUAAGAC
rnacentral:rRNA from 1 species